rnacentral:rRNA from 1 species
CGCGAGAGAAACUGGCAAGCUGGAAUCUUGGAGGGGGUACUGGAAUUCCUGGUGUAGGGGUGAAAUCUGUUGAUAUCAGGAAGAACACCGGAGGCGAAGGCGAGUACCUGGCCAAAGAUUGACGCUGAUGAGCGAAAGCGUAGGGAGCGAACAGGAUUAGAUACCCUGGUAGUCUACGCCGUAAACGAUGUGCACUUGGUGGUGGUCCCGUUCGGGAUCGCUGCCGGAGCUAACGCAUUAAGUGCACCGCCUGGGGAGUACGCCGGCAACGGUUAAACUCAAAGGAAUU